GAGCUAAUGAUGAGAAAUACAAUUAUCUUAGCGGAUUUCGGUGAGAUUUCUUUGAAUCAAUGAUCUGAUUGUUACACACACUGAAGCUCUUAAUAAUUUUUUUUUUAAAUUAAAUGGGAUGUAAAUAAUAAUAAUAAUAGCAGUGAUGAGGUAAAACACAUGAGGAUGUGUUUAGGGAAGUGGACAAGACGAUUAAAACCGUUUUGCCGUGAUCCCCAUUUUAAACGACUUCUCCUUCCACUGAGCUUU
rnacentral:lncRNA from 1 species